UACGGGGGGAGCAAGCGUUGUCCGGAUUUACUGGGCGUAAAGAGCGCGCAGGCGGUCGUUCAAGUCGAGUGUGAAAGCCCCCGGCUCAACUGGGGAGGGUCACUCGAUACUGAUCGACUCGAAGGCAGGAGAGGGUAGUGGAAUUCCCGGUGUAGUGGUGAAAUGCGUAGAGAUCCGGAGGAACACCAGUGGCGAAAGCGGCCACCUGGACUGUACCUGACGCUGAAACGCGAAAGCUAGGGGAGCGAACGGG
rnacentral:rRNA from 1 species